rnacentral:rRNA from 1 species
GAUGAACGCUGGCGGCGUGCCUAAUACAUGCAAGUCGAGCGAACGGACGAGAAGCUUGCUUCUCUGAUGUUAGCGGCGGACGGGUGAGUAACACGUGGAUAACCUACCUAUAAGACUGGGAUAACUUCGGGAAACCGGAGCUAAUACCGGAUAAUAUUUUGAACCGCAUGGUUCAAAAGUGAAAGACGGUGUUGCUGUCACUUAUAGAUGGAUCCGCGCUGCAUUAGCUAGUUGGUAAGGUAACGGCUUACCAAGGCAACGAUGCAUAGCCGACCUGAGAGGGUGAUCGGCCACACUGGAACGGAGACACGGUCCAGACUCCUACGGGAGGCAGCAGUAGGGAAUCUUCCGCAAUGGGCGAAAGCCUGACGGAGCAACGCCGCGUGAGUGAUGAAGGUCUUCGGAUCGUAAAACUCUGUUAUUAGGGAAGAACAUAUGUGUAAGUAACUGUGCACAGCUUGACGGUACCUAAUCAGAAAGCCACGGCUAACUACGUG